CACUUGUAGUGAACUCACCAAAGAGACGAAAUCACCAAAAUCAGACGAGUUUCAUCAAAAUUGUGUCUGCAACGAACUCGUCUCUGCUACAGGAAAUUUGGUGAGUGCCGAUUUGGCUCAUCUGUUCUGCUGAGCCAAUUUCCUCUCGUCUCUUCUUACUUUUCAUUUGUUUAUUACCCUUCCCGCGUUCUCGAUCUCCUGAAGCGAAAAUUGGAGCUCCUUCGCACCUUUUCUCACAAAUCACCUCUGCAAGCUUUUGAAUCCCAGGAUGCAGGUCAAUUUGUUUGAUUGAUUUCAUGGGCUGAGAGAUCCUCCAAAUGCAAAAAAGAGCACUUAGAGCAGAAGGAUGAGAAGCGAGAGCCAUUUGAUACAAGCUUCGGUGUUAUUUUUAAGCUGCUGAUGUAAUUGGAAGGAGAUCCGGUGUAGCAUUUAUAGCUUGGUCCAUGGCCAGCACCAAUAAGAUCAAAUAGGAGAGGAAUGAAAUGGGGGUUUCUGCAGAGUUUUAGCCCUAAAAAGAUUACAUAAUACUUAUCAUCAGAUGACACUUGAAAAAUCUUUAUGAUGGUGAACUGGUCUUUUCUUCAAAGUGGUUUGGACUCAAGUGUCUAGAGGUUUUCAUCACUGGUGGAUAGGUCAAAUAUGUCCUAUAUGGGGGGUAUCUUUGACUCCUUGCUUGUUGGCUAACCUAUGAUUUUUCUUGCAGCAAAUCCAAAAAUGGUCGGGACCAUUGGAAUCACUUGCAGAAGACUGGAGAUUUCUGAUAUUUGUGUUUCUUUUUUCUUCUUCUUUUUUUCCUUAUCAUAUUUGACUACGAAAUCCGCAUAUCGUGAAGGACAAAAUUUAUGUAUUAGGAUUCACCUUUCAUUUUGACCACAUGACUUGUUGAUAGGGCAUGUGUUGCAUCUAUACACUCAAGGACAGGCGGAACUUCGUGAUGAAGUGUGCAGCAUCCAGGACUUCCAUUACUUCAAUUAAUUGUAGUUCCAACCACUUCAAUUAAUUCUUAUGGGCGUUGGUGUUGAAGCAUCCAGGACUUCCAUUACUUCUUAUCAUGUAUGGACGUUGCUAUUAAAGCAUCCAGAGACUUCCAUAACUUCUUUGCAUGUAUGGGCUUUGGUUUUUCAUUUUUUAAUUCAUUAAUUGUCAUUCAGAGCCAAACAUCCAACCACUUCCAUUACUUCUUAUCAUGUAUGAACGUUGGUAUUAAAGCAUCCUUGGGCUUCCAUUACUUC